CGAGGACUCAGAUCCCUUCGCUAGCCCAUUUCACUGGGGUAGUGUAUAAGCCAGAAAAGUUCCCCACAAUAGCGGGACCAUUCCCCUGCUUACUCAUGGAAAGGAGCUCCUGUCCUUAGGCUACAGCUUGCAGCUCAUCCUCUGUGACCCAGCACCAGCUAAUGGAUUUGUUCCUCAGUGGAUUCUCUGGAUGUUGAAAUCUUUAUUCAGCUCGCUGCUGGUGUGUUGCGAGUUUGUGGUAUCUGAGUCUGUUCCAUCCACCCUGUGUACAGCUGCUCUUGGCCCUUUUUGAAGUUGUGCUGGCCCCAGCCCCUGGAAGGACACGCCCAGAGAUCAGAUUCAUUUCCAGAGCAGUUCACAUCAUCCAGCCAGAUCUGCCCGGAUCCUUCCCCGUA